AAAUUUGAAUAUUCCAAAUAUUCCAGGAAGACUCCUGAAGCCUUCCUUGUGCCCUUUCUGUCACAACAUUCCAGGUCUCUAAGGCAAAUAGUCAUUGUAAUAGUGGUUUUGACUGUAAUUUUUGUUUUACAUUCACAGGUCUGUCAGGAAUGACUGUGUCCAGAUAGCAGAGUGAUGAAGUGAUCUUGUUGUCACAGCACUUUUGCUUCUAAGCCUGGAAGCAGUCUGGAACUCAGCGAUGAAGAUUGUGAAUAAAGAAAAUUCAUAUUUUUUAAAUGAAUGAACAAAAACCUAAAGUGAUUUUAGGGUGACAGAUUUCCAACCAUAUGCACUUCACCUUCCAACUCCUCUGUGACCUCCUGGUUGUCACAGAAUCUUCUGAUCCAGUAGGGUGCCUACACGGAUGUUCUGGAGACCUACACGAUGUCUGGGUUGCUGCCAAUGACUCUGAGGGAGUCUGGAGACUGUCCUUCGGUUUUUAUGUCAGCCAUCAUAAUGACAACAGAGGCUCAGAUCCAGCUGAAGAGUCCAGAUGGAGUGUAAUGAAGGAUGAGCAUCCUCACCGCCCUUUGCUCUUCACUAAGCCUAUGUCUAUCAAAGGUAAAUGUGCUCCUGUUUCAUAUGGGCUUAAAAGGUUUCAAAGCUAUUUGAGUUUG
rnacentral:lncRNA from 1 species